rnacentral:rRNA from 1 species
AUUGAACGCUGGCGGCAUGCCUUACACAUGCAAGUCGAACGGCAGCACGGGAGCAAUCCUGGUGGCGAGUGGCGAACGGGUGAGUAAUGUAUCGGAACGUGCCCAGUCGUGGGGGAUAACGUAGCGAAAGCUACGCUAAUACCGCAUACGAUCUAUGGAUGAAAGCGGGGGACCGUAAGACCUCGCGCGAUUGGAGCGGCCGAUAUCAGAUUAGGUAGUUGGUGGGGUAAAGGCCUACCAAGCCGACGAUCUGUAGCUGGUCUGAGAGGACGACCAGCCACACUGGGACUGAGACACGGCCCAGACUCCUACGGGAGGCAGCAGUGGGGAAUUUUGGACAAUGGGCGCAAGCCUGAUCCAGCAAUGCCGCGUGCAGGAUGAAGGCCUUCGGGUUGUAAACUGCUUUUGUACGGAGCGAAAAGGCCCUCUCUAAUACAGGGGGCUCAUGACGGUACCGUAAGAAUAAGCACCGGCUAACUACGUGCCAGCCGCCGCCGUAA